GGCUAAGUGAGGGCCAGGGGCGUCGGUAAUAGGGAGGUGGGAAGCGGUGUCCGGAUUGACUGGGCGUAAAGGGGGCGUAGGUGGAUAUUUAAGUGGGAUGUGAAAUACUCGGGCUUAACCGGAGUGCUGCAUUCCAAACUGGAUAUCUAGAGUGCAGGAGAGGAAAGUAGAAUUCCUAGUGUAGCGGUGAAAUGCGUAGAGAUUAGGAAGAAUACCAGUGGCGAAGGCGACUUUCUGGACUGUAACUGACACUGAGGCUCGAAAGCGUGGGGAGCAAACAGGAUUAGAUACCCGAGUAUC
rnacentral:rRNA from 1 species